UCUCAGUAAAAGGAAUGUUACAAAAUAUUUGUGAAAGUAAGCUUAUCAAAAAUGUUUAACCUUAAUCUGAUCACACCUUUAUAAUGAAUUUACAAAAAAGAAAAUAAAGGAACAUGUUCAAAGAUACUACAAUGACAUUCUAUGGAACAAAUGAUCUAGUCUCUUUAAUAAGUCUCUGUCUUGAAAAAAGGAAAUCUACUAAGAAUACCUACUAAGCCCCACACACAGUGCUAAGCACAGGGGUUAUAAAGACAGGAAGGCAGGAAGCCCAAUUGAAAAUUCCCAGUCUCCCUUGCAGUUCAGCAAAGCUAUGUAACUAAGUUCUGGUCAAUGAAAUCUUGAUGAGAUAAAAUUGACAUAUAAAAUGGU